AAGACCUUAAGUUAAUAAAUUAAACUCGUAGCCUUCAAAGCUAUUCAUAAAGGGCCAACCUUUAGGCCUUG
rnacentral:tRNA from 1 species